AAUUUCUAAUGAAUCAUGCUUCCCACAACAGGAGUCUGAAUGGGGUCCUGCUCAGGUGGAGGCAUCGUUACUGGUGAUGUUCCUACUAAUCAUCUGAUUAAGUUGUCAGAAAGUUCUCAUGUACUCCUUUCCCCUCACAGAAGCACUUCCUAUUCCUG